ACAGUCCUUUACUUUGUUAGUCGAAGCAAAGACUUAAGCUAUCGGGGGAAAUACAGAUAGUCUCUUUUACUUUGUUAAAGCAAAGACUUAAGCUGCCAUAGGGGGAAAGACAGAGAUAGUCCUUCUUUCUAUUUUGAGGGAUUAUUCCUUCGAGUUCUCGCUCAGUUAGGUCUAGGAAUAAAGAGGUUGCCAAGUAUACAAUCCCAUCUUCCAACAGUAGCUGCUAGUUCUCUACUCCGCAAUGACUCUUAUCGAAUCAACUCCCAAUGCCUGAACCGGUGCUCUGAUCAUACAGGAUAAACAAUUGAUGCCAGAUCCAGAGC
rnacentral:lncRNA from 1 species